AGCGAACGCUGGCGGCAGGCCUAACACAUGCAAGUCGAACGAACUCUUCGGAGUUAGUGGCGGACGGGUGAGUAACACGUGGGAACGUGCCUUUAGGUUCGGAAUAACUCAGGGAAACUUGUGCUAAUACCGAAUGUGCCCUUCGGGGGAAAGAUUUAUCGCCUUUAGAGAGGCCCGCGUCUGAUUAGCUAGUUGGUGAGGUAAAGGCUCACCAAGGCGACGAUCAGUAGCUGGUCUGAGAGGAUGAUCAGCCACAUUGGGACUGAGACACGGCCCAAACUCCUACGGGAGGCAGCAGUGGGGAAUCUUGCGCAAUGGGCGAAAGCCUGACGCAGCCAUGCCGCGUGAAUGAUGAAGGUCUUAGGAUUGUAAAAUUCUUUCACCGGGGACGAUAAUGACGGUACCCGGAGAAGAAGCCCCGGCUAACUUCGUG
rnacentral:rRNA from 1 species